AAAAUAAAGUCAUGUCUAUCUCUUUGUUGAUGAAAGGAGUGAUGCUAGAGUUGAAGAGCCCAGAGUGAUCAGAGAGCAGCCUUUAUAGGUACAGCCGUGAGGUGAUAGCUUCACGAGACGGUCCAUCUUUGACUGUAUGAUCGCCGGUUCGAUCCCGGUUUUCUUCUGGAGGCGUACAACCUACCUAUAGUACAAGUGGCAUUUACCAAAAGACCCGAAAUCGUACUCCGUUUUCAUUGAUAGAAGGGCUGUGAACAACGGAACCUCAAUUCGAGCCAUUUUGGAAGGGCUGGGAGAGGAAAGAGUGAAGAGGAUGAAAGAUAAGAUAGUCGAGUAUAUAAGUUUGUGUACGCCGCCCCCAAAGAGGGGUUGGCCGGUAUGAAGGAUGCGUUUGAUGUUUCCUUGGAAGGGUACUGAGAAGAUUCCAGGAGCAGAGAAGGACAUAAAUGGAAUUAAAAAAUUGGGAAUGGGAGAUCUUGUAUGUUGUAUUUUGUACUUCUCUUGGGUGGGGUAUAUUAAUGGAGGGACAGGAUGUUGAAGUAGAUUGGUGGACGGUUGGAUGGAUGUGGUUGGUGGAUUUUAUAUUAAUUGGUUAGCUGCAAAGACAGUUAUUAGUUGCUAC